UGCCCUUUCAUGGGGGGUGGAAACAGCACCCAGAGGAAGCCACUCCAUUCACUUCCUGACCAACUGAAAGGCAAGAGAAAAACUAAGUGACCAAACGUGCCAGGCCUUGUCUCACUCUCUUCUCAGAUUGGGAACUUGAGAAAGAGGAGAUUAUAUCGAAUCAGAUGAGGCAAAAACGUUAUUUCCUGGAAGCAGAAACUUGACCGAUGGUCACAAGACCAAGGAAGACAGGAACCAACCGGGAAGAAGUCUGGCAGCUGCGAAGAAUGGACCGAGAGGGAACAAAAGUAACCUCUGCGACCACACAGGCGAGACCUCCCCACCACGGUAACGCCAGCGCCUCCACCCUUGGCACAUAGGAAAUAAAAGCCUGGGUCGCCGGGCGGCGCCUGCGCAGAAACGGUGAGGGCCUCCCCUGUACCUCCCCACUUCCCAACUUCCAAUCACCUCCAUCCACCUUCCAGCUCCCCGCCCCCCUCGUUAAAUCCCAUAAAUACUCUGCUUCCCCUUAUCCUCCGGGAGGCAGAACCGGUGUCAGUGUUCGGCUUCCAGUGCAUCGAAAACCGGCCCCUCACGCUGUGACAUUUGGAAAUAAGUCAUGGAAGAAAAGGCGAACUACAAAUCGGGCCGAGCUUCCAAGGGCAAACAAGCCCGGUUUUCAGUCCUGCCCUGCCACCAGCUCCUUUCUCAAGGUGCACGUGAGUGUUUGACGAGAAAAGACGUGGAGAAAGCAGAUGAUGUCGUACAAAAAGCAGAAGUGGUUUUUCUGUCCACAGGGUCUUGGCCAUGUGGUCUACCAGUAGUCUGUUGUUUAAAUUAGUAACCUCCUAACAAGUAACUCCACCCUUGAAACUGCUCUGUCCACAGCACAUGUCUCAUACAGUAGGAGGGGGACGGAAGGGGUUAUUUAUUGAGAACGUGCUACGUGUUUUACACAUGCUGUUUCAUUUAAUCUUCUAGCAGCUCUGUAAGGCACUUAACGUUUUUUCCCCUCUUCUACAGAUGAGCAAAUAGAGGCUAAAACUGGUUACAUAAUGGUCUGAGUUCAAAGCCCUGCUCUUUCUAGAAUGUCAUGACUUUUCAAACGUGCUCCAGCAGGACAAGAAAGGCCUAAGCUUGCUGGGAUGUUUCGCUGAAAAAAAAAACAAAAAACAAAACAAAAAAAAACCCCAAUAAUAAUAAUUUAUAAUGAUAGCCUUUUUCCAAUUUGCAUAGAAAGCUAAUUGAGAGAAUUUUCUUAAUUCCGUGUUUUUCUCCUACUAAUUUCCCAAGUUUGGGUGCCUGCUUAUACCCCCUUAUCUGAGAAUGGCAUCAGCAAUCCUAAAAGGAAUAAAAAAUUAGAAAA